UAAGGAAUAUUGGUCAAUGGACGAAAGUCUGAACCAGCCAUGCCGCGUGGAGGAUGAAGGUCCUCUGGAUUGUAAACUUCUUUUAUCUGGGACGAAAAAAGGUCUUUCUAGAUCGUCUGACGGUACCAGAUGAAUAAGCACCGGCUAACUCCGUGCCAGCAGCCGCGGUAAUACGGAGGGUGCAAGCGUUAUCCGGAUUCACUGGGUUUAAAGGGUGCGUAGGUGGGUUGGUAAGUCAGUGGUGAAAUCUUCGAGCUUAACUCGGAAACUGCCAUUGAUACUAUCAGUCUUGAAUAUUGUGGAGGUUAGCGGAAUAUGUCAUGUAGCGGUGAAAUGCUUAGAUAUGACAUAGAACACCAAUUGCGAAGGCAGCUGGCUACACAUAUAUUGACACUGAGGCACGAAAGCGUGGGGAUCAAACAGGAUUAGAUACCCUGGUAGUCCACGCCCUAAACUAUGGAUACUCGACAUACGCGAUACACUGUGUGUGUCUGAGCGAAAGCAUUAAGUAUCCCCACCUGGGGAAGUACGAUCGCAAGAUUGAAACUCAAAUGAA
rnacentral:rRNA from 1 species